GAACAUGAGAGUUUGAUCCUGGCUCAGGAUCAACGCUGGCGGCGUGCCUAACACAUGCAAGUCGAACGAAGCAAUUAAGAUGAAGUUUUCGGAUGGAAUCUUGAUUGACUGAGUGGCGGACGGGUGAGUAACGCGUGGAUAACCUGCCUCACACUGGGGGAUAACAGUUAGAAAUGACUGCUAAUACCGCAUAAGCGCACAGUGCCGCAUGGCAGUGUGUGAAAAACUCCGGUAGUGUGAGAUGGAUCCGCGUCUGAUUAGCCAGUUGGCGGGGUAACGGCCCACCAAAGCGACGAUCAGUAGCCGACCUGAGAGGGUGACCGGCCACAUUGGGACUGAGACACGGCCCAAACUCCUACGGGAGGCAGCAGUGGGGAAUAUUGCACAAUGGGCGAAAGCCUGAUGCAGCGACGCCGCGUGAGUGAAGAAGUAUUUCGGUAUGUAAAGCUCUAUCAGCAGGGAAGAAAAUGACGGUACCUGACUAAGAAGCCCCGGCUAACUACGUGCCAGCAGCCGCGGUAAUACGUAGGGGGCNAGCGUUAUCCGGAUUUACUGGGUGUAAAGGGAGCGUAGACGGCGAAGCAAGUCUGAAGUGAAAACCCAGGGCUCAACCCUGGCACUGCUUUGGAAACUGUUUUGCUAGAGUGUCGGAGAGGUAAGUGGAAUUCCUAGUGUAGCGGUGAAAUGCGUAGAUAUUAGGAGGAACACCAGUGGCGAAGGCGGCUUACUGGACGAUAACUGACGUUGAGGCUCGAAAGCGUGGGGAGCAAACAGGAUUAGAUACCCUGGUAGUCCACGCCGUAAACGAUGAAUGCUAGGUGUUGGGGGGCAAAGCCUUCGGUGCCGCCGCAAACGCAGUAAGCAUUCCACCUGGGGAGUACGUUCGCAAGAAUGAAACUCAAAGGAAUUGACGGGGANCCGCACAAGCGGUGGAGCAUGUGGUUUAAUUCGAAGNAACGCGAAGAACCUUACCAAGUCUUGACAUCCCCCUGACGGCCGGUAACGCGGCCNUUCUUCGGGACAGGGGAGACAGGUGGUGCAUGGUUGUCGUCAGCUCGUGUCGUGAGAUGUUGGGUUAAGUCCCGCAACGAGCGCAACCCUUAUCCUUAGUAGCCAGCAGGUAAAGCUGGGCACUCUAGGGAGACUGCCAGGGAUAACCUGGAGGAAGGUGGGGAUGACGUCAAAUCAUCAUGCCCCUUAUGAUUUGGGCUACACACGUGCUACAAUGGCGUAAACAAAGGGAAGCGAGACAGUGAUGUGGAGCAAAUCCCAAAAAUAACGUCCCAGUUCGGACUGUAGUCUGCAACCCGACUACACGAAGCUGGAAUCGCUAGUAAUCGCGAAUCAGAAUGUCGCGGUGAAUACGUUCCCGGGUCUUGUACACACCGCCCGUCACACCAUGGGAGUCAGCAACGCCCGAAGUCAGUGACCCAACCGAAAGGAGGGAGCUGCCNAAGGCGGGGCAGGUAACNGGGG
rnacentral:rRNA from 2 species